rnacentral:rRNA from 1 species
CCUACGGGGGGCUGCAGUGGGGAAUAUUGGAUAAUGGGCGAAAGCCUGAUCCAGCCAUGCCGCGUGUGUGAAGAAGGCCUUCGGGUUGUAAAGCACUUUCAGUGGGGAAGAAAGCCUUGGGGCUAAUACCCUCGAGGAAGGACAUCACCCACAGAAGAAGCACCGGCUAACUCCGUGCCAGCAGCCGCGGUAAUACGGAGGGUGCGAGCGUUAAUCGGAAUUACUGGGCGUAAAGCGCGCGUAGGCGGUCUGAUAAGCCGGUUGUGAAAGCCCCGGGCUCAACCUGGGAACGGCAUCCGGAACUGUCAGGCUAGAGUGCAGGAGAGGAAGGUAGAAUCCCCGGUGUAGCGGUGAAAUGCGUAGAGAUCGGGAGGAAUACCAGUGGCGAAGGCGGCCUUCUGGACUGACACUGACGCUGAGGUGCGAAAGCGUGGGUAGCAAACAGGAUUAGAUACCCCGGUAGUC